ACGCUCGUGGCUCAAUUGGUAGAGCAUCGGAUUCCAAAUCCGAGGGUUGGGGGUUCAAGUCCCUCCGGGCGUG
rnacentral:tRNA from 1 species